rnacentral:rRNA from 1 species
CCUACGGGAGGCUGCAGUGGGGAAUAUUGCACAAUGGGCGCAAGCCUGAUGCAGCCAUGCCGCGUGUGUGAAGAAGGCCUUCGGGUUGUAAAGCACUUUCAGCGGGGAGGAAGGCGUUAAGGUUAAUAACCUUGGCGAUUGACGUUACCCGCAGAAGAAGCACCGGCUAACUCCGUGCCAGCAGCCGCGGUAAUACGGAGGGUGCAAGCGUUAAUCGGAAUUACUGGGCGUAAAGCGCACGCAGGCGGUCUGUCAAGUCGGAUGUGAAAUCCCCGGGCUCAACCGGGGAACUGCAUUCGAAACUGGCAGGCUAGAGUCUUGUAGAGGGGGGUAGAAUUCCAGGUGUAGCGGUGAAAUGCGUAGAGAUCUGGAGGAAUACCGGUGGCGAAGGCGGCCCCCUGGACAAAGACUGACGCUCAGGUGCGAAAGCGUGGGGAGCAAACAGGAUUAGAUACCCUAGUAGUC